rnacentral:rRNA from 1 species
GGAUGCGAUCAUACCAGCACUAAUGCACCGGAUCCCAUCAGAACUCCGCAGUUAAGCGUGCUUGGGAGAGAAUGGUAUUAAGAUGAGCAUUAUCGCAUGAC